rnacentral:rRNA from 1 species
UACGUAGGGUGCAAGCGUUGUCCGGAAUUAUUGGGCGUAAAGAGCUCGUAGGCGGUUCGUCGCGUCGGCUGUGAAAACCCGGAGCUCAACUCCGGGCCUGCAGUCGAUACGGGCGGACUUGAGUGUUGCAGGGGAGACUGGAAUUCCUGGUGUAGCGGUGAGAUGCGCAGAUAUCAGGAGGAACACCGGUGGCGAAGGCGGGUCUCUGGGCAACUACUGACGCUGAGGAGCGAAAGCGUGGGGAGCGAACAGG